UGAGGGGAGGCUGCGUCUGUCCGCUCUCCCACACACACACAGAGUCGCGCCCCGCCUCUCGUUCACCGCACGCGACGACCCUCCCGCACCGCACGCGACGACCCUCCCGCACCGCACGCGACGACCCUCCCGCACCACACACACCAUUCCGUAAACACAGAAAAAAUAUCACGUCUAGUUUAUCGAUUCUCAGAUGAUAAAACACACAAACAUUUUUAUACAGAAACAGAAGUGUAAUGUUUGUUAAUUUAUAAACAGUAUAUUAACAUCGUGUGUGCGUAUUGUAAAAAGAUCGUAUUGUAAAAGUGAUUUCUGAUGUAUUUAUGAUUUUGUUAAUGUUGGAAAUUAUACAGAUAUUCGCCUCUGAUUUUAAGAGUACUUGAUAUAAACUUUUUAUAUAUGUUUUUUAAAAGUGGUAUAUUGUAAUUCGAUUGUAAAUAAAAACAGUGUAUCGUAAAUCAAACCAGUAACACAAAACACAGAAAUUAAUGUUUUUUCUCUCAUGGCUAUCGUAAAAAAAAAAUAAUUUAAUUAAGAAUACAUUUACCAUCCGUGUAUCGUAAUAUAAAGUAUCAUAAGUGACUCUCGACUCUACGAUCACUUACACCAACAGAGUGCAUCGUGUCUUCACCUCCAGGAUUCACUUAUUAUGUGUCCAAGACAGGUGAGUGCGUUAACAGGUAAGAGCAGAAAGUGUCUGAAACAAUAAACAAUCGAAUUAAUUAACAAAAAAGUGUACGAAACAAAUACUUCCAUAAAAACAUCAAUAACAACAAGAGAAAAGUGUCAGAAACAAAUAAACUCUAAUUAACAAAGAAAUAAAAAAGUGUUUGAAACAAUGUAAAAAAAAAUAUAUCUUCAGGAAAUUAUAAAAAAAAUACAUCAAGAAUAUAUCCAUUACAAAUACAACCCAAGUGUCAAGUCACCUAACAACAACAACAACAGUAACAACCACAACAACCACAACAACCACAACCAGAUCGUGUGGUUCCUCAGACAAGAAACUAGAGCCAUGAUUAUCGCCUCUUGAUAAACUAACGAUGUGACGUCAACGCGGUGUAGAGUUAACAGUACACUGGAGG